CGCAGAGACCGAGGACAGAGCGAGCUGUCGCUUCCAAACCCCAUGGAAAAUUACCGGGAGGCCCAGCCGCGGGCCUCGGCUUGUGACCGCUGCUUCUCCCCGAGGCCGCCGCACACCUGCUCCAGAAAUCAGUGGAAAAGCAUUCUCAGGUGAGGACUAAAAAUAAGUAACUGUGAAAUGUGCCACUGGAAGCCACUGUCCCUUAAGCCCUUCGAACCCUCUUCUCUCGGAAACAGCGUGACACUCCAGCCGAAUGGCGUCUUUGUCUCCAACCGUAAGAGAGCGUGGCGUGCCCUCCAAAAUCAGAAGGACGUUUCCCAGUUAUGGUUUUACGCCGCGUCUUUAUGGCGUCAUUUGCUUUUGUGAGGCGAAGGCGCUGAAGUGGAAACCGCUAACAAAUAGGGCGGCUGGAAACCGGCUCCGGGGUGAAGACUCCUUGCUACCUGGGGCAGGGCGUCUCUGUCCCACACGGCUCAUCGGCUCAUCUUCCCGCUCCUCUGUCAUCCGCAUCUUGCAGGCAGGCGUGCCUGACCACCUGCCCCGUCCGCACCUGCGCAGUCUGUCCCUCCGCCUGAUGUCAAACCUGCCUCGUUCCAGAGACUCAGGACCACUCGGUGGUGGAAAGAAAUCAGGCGGAUGUGUGGACACACGAGUAAAUGCAGGACCAGUGAAUGCCUAAGGGAAUGGCAGCAUCCAUGGCCCAGAGGCGCCAGAGCUGGCCGUGCACCUGGGAAGUCGGGGCAUUAACGGUGACUGAGAGGGAGGUCCCUGGUGCCACCUGGGCCUGCCUCCCACGCUAAGGUCCAGUCAGUCUCCCUGGCCCCUUGAGACCCUCUCCAUCCUCCCUGUCUCAUUCCCGGCGGACAGACCUUCUCUAAGACGAACUUAUGUGAGAGUGUGAAGCCUCGUCAUGUCCACAGUCCUCUAGAAAGAUGGAAACCCUCGUGGCUGAGGCAGGUUAAACCAGGGCCUGGCCUGGCCAGCAUGGCUCAGUUGAGCAUCGACCUAUGAACCAGGAGGUUCACGGUUCGA